CCUACGGGAGGCAGCAGUGGGGAAUAUUGGGCAAUGGGCGCAAGCCUGACCCAGCAACGCCGCGUGAAGGAAGAAGGCUUUCGGGUUGUAAACUUCUUUUCUGAGGGACGAAGAAAGUGACGGUACCUCAGGAAUAAGCCACGGCUAACUACGUGCCAGCAGCCGCGGUAAUACGUAGGUGGCAAGCGUUAUCCGGAUGUAUUGGGUGUAAAGGGCGUGUAGGCGGGAAAGCAAGUCAGAUGUGAAAACUCAGGGCUCAACCCUGAGCCUGCAUUUGAAACUGUUUUGCUUGAGGGCUGGAGAGGUAAGGGGAAUUCCGGGUGUAGCGGUGAAAUGCGGAGAUAUUAGGAGGAACACCAGUGGCGAAGGCGGCUUGCUGGACAGUAACUGACGUUGAGGCGCGAAAGCGUGGGGAGCAAACAGGAUUAGAUACCCGAGUAGUC
rnacentral:rRNA from 1 species